GUCCUGGCUGUAAACGAUGGGCACUUGGUGUUGCGGGUAUCGACCCCUGCAGUGCCGAAGCUAACGCAUUAAGUGCCCCGCCUGGGGAGUACGGUCGCAAGGCUGAAAACUCAAAGGAAUUGACGGGGGCCCGCACAAGCGGUGGAGCAUGUGGUUCAAUUCGACGCAACGCGAAAAACCUUACCUGGGUUUGAACUGCGGUGUACCGCUCCAGAGAUGGAGCUUCCCUUCGGGGCUGCCGUGGAGGUGCUUCAUGGCUGUCGU
rnacentral:rRNA from 1 species